ensembl:misc_RNA Metazoa_SRP Metazoan signal recognition particle RNA
GCCAGGUGUGGUGGUGUGUGCCUGUAGUCUCAGCUACUCAGGAGGCUGAGGUGGGAGGAUUGCUUGAGCCCAGGAAUUGGAGGCUGCAGUGAGUUAUGAUAAUGAGUUAUGAUUAUAUCACUGCACUUGCACUCCAGCCUGGGCAACAGAGUGAAAUCCCAUCUCUA